GACGAACGCUGGCGGCGUGCUUAACACAUGCAAGUCGAACGGUGAAGCUCCAGCUUGCUGGAGUGGAUCAGUGGCGAACGGGUGAGUAACACGUGAGCAACCUGCCCCUGACUCUGGAAUAAGCGCUGGAAACGGCGUCUAAUACUGGAUACGAGAAGGGUCCGCAUGGGCACUUUCUGGAAAGUUUUUCGGUUGGGGAUGGGCUCGCGGCCUAUCAGCUUGUUGGUGAGGUAAUGGCUCACCAAGGCGACGACGGGUAGCCGGCCUGAGAGGGCGACCGGCCACACUGGGACUGAGACACGGCCCAGACUCCUACGGGAAGCAGCAGUGGGGAAUAUUGCACAAUGGGCGAAAGCCUGAUGCAGCGACGCCGCGUGAGGGAUGACGGCCUUCGGGUUGUAAACCUCUUUCAGCAGGGAAGAAGCGAAAGUGACGGUACCUGCAGAAGAAGCACCGGCUAACUACGU
rnacentral:rRNA from 1 species